AGGAGCGCCUGCGCUCCGGGGUGAAGCCGAGACAUGGUGCCGCCAUGCUUUAUACUGGCGCUCUGAACCUCGGGACUGCCAGGCAGACGUGACUGAGCCCAGGGCAAAUGCUGGAGGACUCCCCAGGCCAGGAAGCAUCUGUGGAAAAGUCGAUGUUUCGGGCUGAGACCCUUCAUUAAGACUAGGCAAGAAGGGGAGAGGUCAGAUAAAGAAGGUGCGGAUAUAGAAGAAAGAUGUAGAAGAAACUGCCGGAGCCUGCGCCAUGCAAUUUGGAAUUCGAUCAAGCAAUCAGACACCGUUGAGCACGAGGAGAGUUGCCUUAUGGAGAAGACCAGAGGCAGAUUCCCAAACAGGACCAGAACACGAGCUGACUCGUGGAAAAGAUGUGGAGGCUUCGGAGAGGGUGCGGUAGAGAUUUACCAGGAUGCUGCCUGGUUUACAGGGCAUGUACUAUAAAGAGGCACACACAAAAUGCUGGAAGAAUUCAGCAGGUCAGGCAGCACUAUGGAAGAGUGAACAGUCAAUGUUUCAGGCUGAGACCCUUCUCCGAAGAUGUCUUUUAUGAGAAGAUAAAUAUCACAGUUGUAUCAUACACACAUACUUCGACAAUAAAAUGAACCUUUUUGAAGCAUGCUGUCCAUACCCAGCCUGACGAACGCAAGUCUCUAAAUUCAGCCUGUGUGGUUGCCCAUUAGAGCCAAUGAACUGCCAUUGUAAUCCCCUGAAUUAUAGCUAGACACCAUCUCACCUUCAACAGUGAAGGCUACCUCAGGUUUCGAGGACUUGGCCACAAGAACAAGAUCCCAAUUAGAACAGUGACGACUGGUUUACUGUUCAAAUGAACAGCCUGCAACAAGGGUAAUCAUUGGGCAGCAUAAAAGAUGGAAGAAAGAGAAAUUAAUUAGUGCAAUGAUUUUAUUAACAUGAGCAGUUGAGAUAACAGCACUUGGAAACUAUAUUUAAUGCUUGGACAUUAGAUCCAAAGCUGAACGGGCUCGUUUAGACAAAAACAAGUUAAUCAACUUUCACUGUACUUUAAAAGUUAAACUGACAACUGGGUGGUACUUUCAGAUUCAGGACGUACUAAGUCUUUGACAUUAGGUCUGUUUUAUAAUAUACAUGACCUUGAUAAGCACUGCAAAAUAAACAAGUAAACACCAUAUUCCAAAGUGAAGAAGAGCAACAGGAUGAGCCCUGCCCAUCAAAAACAAAAAUGUUGUAACAACAGUGGAUACAGGAUGCAUGCUAUAUCUUUCCCACUGGGAACGUGAACUUUGUGAACAGAUGUGUUGAGUACAUUCAGAAGUAUAUGGUAACUUCAACCAUAAAUUUACUAAUAAAUAUCAUCGGGCAUAUAAUAAAAACACCAAAGUUUAGGUAUAAGGUGCCAAUACUGUAACUUAAGUGCAAGAAUUCUUUAGCACUUUAUUUCACUUAAAAUUAUAAAGUGAAAAAUUAAAUCACAAGCCAAGAGCAAUUCUAUUGCACCUUGGAACUUCUAAAUAAAUAAGGCCACAAUGUGCACUAUUCGCACAAUAAACGAGAUCCUUGAUCCACUAUGGACAAAAUUUUACAUGCUCUUGUUAUCUGUGUGACUCCCAUCCGCUCAACAACUAAAAUCGACAGGACUUCUCACCCAAGCUCUGGUUUCAUCUGAAGUUUUCCCUCCAGCUUAGUGUAAUGUCUAGUCUGGCCUCAACCCUCUUCCCGGCAGGUGUUCCCUUAUUGAAUGUUUAGCUGUGUCUCAAGCUUUGCCUCUAAACUCCCACUCUGUUCCAGCUUCCUCACAACUCUCCAUCUUCAGUUCUCUCCAACCCUCAGCUUCUACAAGUUUACGCUGCCUUACUGUGUAGUCAAUUGGCAAGAAUUUCGAGCAUCAUCACAAUUUUACAAUUUACCUAAAAAAAAAAGCCAGUCAGCAUAAAGAGUAAACAGUAAGUCUCUAAAAUUAGUGUUCUUCAUUUCGACAUCAUUAAGGUGCUGCCUAGUGGCUCUUUGAAGCUCCUAACACAGAAAAGCCCCACAGGUGCUUGCACCAAUUUCAGAUUUCUUAAUCUCAUUCAAAAUCAGAACAUAAACAUCUAUUCAGCAAAGAUACAAGUGCCAAUUAAUAAUAAUGGUGAGCAAACAGUGGUAUCAACUCUUCCACGGGCAGACCCAACCCCGGCUUCGAAGGUCGGUGGGUUGGGCAUGGGCUAGCAACCCCUUCCCAUAAAAACCCAGAUCAACAGAAACACCACUAGAAGCUACAAGGGCCUCAUCCCCGGGAGAGCGAGGAUCUUCGCCUUGAAGACGGGCCAUACCUGGGGACAAUUAGAAAGACGUGCGCAGGACAGAGGAUCCUGGCGAGCAGCUGUCAGAGGCCUAGGUCCCAGUAGGGGUGAAGGGUUUAAGUAAGAAUGGUGGUCUCACAUCGGGUGACAUGGGAAGAUUCUGGCCUCUUCUGCAAAGGAGAGCGGUUCAGUUGCACCCCUCAAGCAACCACCUACUUGCUCGCGUUGUUCAGAACUGCAUGCCUUUGGAGGGGUAAUCCUAGCCCAGCUUUAGAAGAGGUAUAAAGACUAACAACGCUUUGCCAGGAGCAUCUUGAAAGCAGCACACAAGGAAAGAGAAACAAAUCCACCUUUUGUGCUGAAUUAGCAAAGAGCAAGUUACAUUUCUGCUGUGCAGGACUUCAGUGAAAUUAAUCAGAAGUUCUAAUUAAGUUUUAAAAACACAAGUUGACUUCUUUUGAAGCACCCGUUUUUUAUGCAUCUUCGAAUUUGGUUUUGAACAAAAUGUAAUUAACCUCAGUAAGCUGGUUUAUUACCAAUGUCACUAUCAUCUGUCCAGAUGUUUAAAACAGGUUGUUGGAACAAACUGAGACCCUCUGAACAAGAAUACUCUGGCACUGGUUUUGCUGAUUUCAAAAGCACCCACAAAUUGAAACAUCAGAUUUAAAUAUUAAAUAGCACUCAAACAAAAUUAACAGACUCAAUAAGUAUCUUCACCUGGAAUAAUCUAUAUCAAUUAUGAAUUUAGAAAUAGCAUGAAACAA